GAUGAACGCUGGCGGCGUGCCUAAUACAUGCAAGUCGAGCGAACAGACGAGGAGCUUGCUCCUCUGACGUUAGCGGCGGACGGGUGAGUAACACGUGGAUAACCUACCUAUAAGACUGGGAUAACUUCGGGAAACCGGAGCUAAUACCGGAUAAUAUAUUGAACCGCAUGGUUCAAUAGUGAAAGACGGUUUUGCUGUCACGUAUAGAUGGAUCCGCGCCGCAUUAGCUAGUUGGUAAGGUAACGGCUUACCAAGGCAACGAUGCGUAUCCGACCUGAGAGGGUGAUAGGCCACACUGGAACUGAGACACGGUCCAGACUCCUACGGGAGGCAGCAGUAGGGAAUCUUCCGCAAUGGGCGAAAGCCUGACGGAGCAACGCCGCGUGAGUGAUGAAGGUCUUCGGAUCGUAAAACUCUGUUAUUAGGGAAGAACAAAUGUGUAAGUAACUAUGCACGUCUUGACGGUACCUAAUCAGAAAGCCACGGCUAACUACGUG
rnacentral:rRNA from 1 species